UAUUAUUAAGGAAAUUUAUCAAAUCACACCUCAAAAUAACUGUUUAACAUCAAUCAGAUGAGCAGUUCGAUUAGAACCAAUACAAGGUUCAACACCGUGCUUAUAUGCACGUUGGUUUCUGUAACUAGGUUCGGCUCGGAAACUGGGUUCGGUUUCUGAGCCCUCAUCGCAUUCUCACAGCUCUCCACCACAGUAGAGGAAAAGCCGAUCCACUCCGUCGCCUCGUUUGCUUGAGGGCCCGAAUCGAUUUUUCCAUACAUUUGAGAACCCUUAUGCGAUCUAACUUGCAUUGAACUACAUCUGCAUGUUUCUUGGGAUCCUUGUAUUUCUCCUCCGAGGCCAUAUCUAUAUCGAGAGCCAUUUUGAUCAGCUCAACUGGGUCAGCCUUGUUACUGUGUAGGUGAGUGCUAAGUAGGAGUAUGCAGAAGUUGUAGUCCCUAGUGUGCUUGCAAGAGUCCUUUACGAGAUCGGACGGCUCCGACUUCGUAGUACGGAGCGAGAAAGAUGAGAGAGAGCUAUGGUUGGUGUGGGAGACAUUGUGUUGAAAAAGGGCAUACAAGUUUCCUAUUUUGGAAAAA
rnacentral:lncRNA from 1 species